AAAGAAACUGAUCAAUAUUAUAUAUGUGAAUUGUUAUCCUUAAAGAACAUUCGUCAACGAAUGUUAGUUGUUGUUUGUUAAUUGGGUUGUUAAUUAACAAGCAUUAUUAAAAGCAUUUGGUUAAGGGUUAGUAGAUAAUUAUAUUGCAAAUGUCUUCAACUUCAUUAAAAAAAAUAAAAAAUACUUACAUAUGCAAUGAUUUG
rnacentral:lncRNA from 1 species